rfam:Lasius niger Lnig_2.1_5624, whole genome shotgun sequence.
UCUCGCUGUCGCUGGACGGGUGAGCUCUAGUUUCAUGUGGCAUUCGAUCAUGACUAGAGUCACACUCGUCCAGCGACCGGGACA